GCCCUGGUGGUGGAAAUGGUAGACACGCCAUCUUGAGGGGGUGGUGCCGUAAGGCGUCCCGGUUCGAGUCCGGGCCAGGGCA
rnacentral:tRNA from 1 species